UGGGGAAUAUUGCACAAUGGGCGCAAGCCUGAUGCAGCCAUGCCGCGUGUAUGAAGAAGGCCUUCGGGUUGUAAAGUACUUUUAGUCGGGAGGAAGGUGGUAAGGUUAAUAACCUUAUCAAUUGACGUUACCGACAGAAGAAGCACCGGCUAACUCCGUGCCAGCAGCCGCGGUAAUACGGAGGGUGCAAGCGUUAAUCGGAAUUACUGGGCGUAAAGCGCACGCAGGCGGUUGAUUGAGUCAGAUGUGAAAUCCCCGGGCUUAACCCGGGAAUUGCAUCUGAUACUGGUCAGCUAGAGCCUUGUAGAGAGAGGUAGAAUUCCAUGUGUAGCGGUGAAAUGCGUAGAGAUGUGGAGGAAUACCGGUGGCGAAGGCGGCCCCCUGGACAAAGACUGACGCUCAGGUGCGAAAGCGUGGGGAGCAAACAGG
rnacentral:rRNA from 1 species